rnacentral:rRNA from 1 species
UCGAGAGGCUUCGGCAAUGGGGGAAACCCUGACCGAGCGACGCCGCGUGGAGGAUGAAGGUCUUCGGAUUGUAAACUCCUGUUGCCCGGGACGAAAAGCCUUGACCUAACACGUCAAGGUCUGACGGUACCGGGUGAGGAAGCCCCGGCUAACUCUGUGCCAGCAGCCGCGGUAAUACAGAGGGGGCAAGCGUUGUUCGGAAUUACUGGGCGUAAAGGGCGCGUAGGCGGCCUGCUAAGUCGAACGUGAAAUCCCCGGGCUCAACCCGGGAACUGCGUCCGAUACUGGUUGGCUUGAAUUCGGGAGAGGGAUGCGGAAUUCCAGGUGUAGCGGUGAAAUGCGUAGAUAUCUGGAGGAACACCGGUGGCGAAGGCGGCAUCCUGGACCGAGAUUGACGCUGAGGCGCGAAAGCCAGGGGAGCAAA